rnacentral:rRNA from 1 species
GGCGAUGAUGCAUAGCCGAGUUGAGAGACUGAUCGGCCACAAUGGGACUGAGACACGGCCCAUACUCCUACGGGAGGCAGCAGUAGGGAAUCUUCCACAAUGGGCGCAAGCCUGAUGGAGCAACACCGCGUGAGUGAAGAAGGGUUUCGGCUCGUAAAGCUCUGUUGUUAAAGAAGAACACGUAUGAGAGUAACUGUUCAUACGUUGACGGUAUUUAACCAGAAAGUCACGGCUAACUACGUGCCAGCAGCCGCGGUAAUACGUAGGUGGCAAGCGUUAUCCGGAUUUAUUGGGCGUAAAGAGAGUGCAGGCGGUUUUCUAAGUCUGAUGUGAAAGCCUUCGGCUUAACCGGAGAAGUGCAUCGGAAACUGGAUAACUUGAGUGCAGAAGAGGGUAGUGGAACUCCAUGUGUAGCGGUGGAAUGCGUAGAUAUAUGGAAGAACACCAGUGGCGAAGGCGGCUACCUGGUCUGCAACUGACGCUGAGACUCGAAAGCAUGGGUAGCGAACAGGAUUAGAUACCCUGGUAGUCCAUGCCGUAAACGAUGAGUGCUAGGUGUUGGAGGGUUUCCGCCCUUCAGUGCCGGAGCUAACGCAUUAAGCACUCCGCCUGGGGAGUACGACCGCAAGGUUGAAACUCAAAGGAAUUGACGGGGGCCC